ensembl:lncRNA
GUUCCAGUUCCAGGCAGAAGCCAGAGGAAUGUGGCACCUGCUAUGCUGAGACCUUUUCAUGUGAAGUUUGUUGAUGCUUGUGUAGAACUCUUUUCUCUGUGAUAUGAAUCAAACAGUAGGAUCUCAGAUAUUGCUCAAGAGUUCAUCUGAAAAAGAGUCUAAGAGAGACAUGAUAUGAGAUGGAAAAAAAUGUUGACAGACCUUAAACAUGAAGUGACCUUCCAAUGUGAAUACAUACUGGAUAUCCAUGUUGUAAAACACAGAAUCUUCAUUUUGGAUGUGGUUUGAGAAUUCAUGAACAUAUUUGUAUUUGAGAAUGGAGGAUACACCUUCCAUUGCGUUGAAAGAUUUGAAGAACCAAUAUACUUUGAGGCAUUGCUGGAGGUUACAAAGUCAAUUGUAACUUAUUCUGGUGGGCAGAGUGCUGUGGGUAGAUCUACUCAGGAAGAGAGUUUUGAAGCUGUGCUUUCUUUUCUCUGUUACGUUCCUCUGAGAUGAUUAUUGUAUCAGAGUGAGCAGGAUGUCAUUAAGAGUGUGGGCACAUGUAGGAUGCAGUGAAGAACAGAUAGCAGCGGGUUCCUCCCUACAGAAUUAAGAACCAAGAGAGAGAGAAAAGCUAAUGGAACAGGUGAAGACAAUUUUCCUGAGAACCAGAAUUUUCUGAAGAGGAAAUUCCUGAUCUGCGUGUCCAAGCUCCAACGUAGCAAUUCAGCCUCUACCAUGAAGGAUGCAUCUCUACAUUUUAAACCUACUACAGGCACUAAGGAAGGUUUUGACUUUGUUCCUUUCACCUUUUAUAGUCUACAAGCCAAGUACAUGGCAAUGCUAGGAAAAAGUACAUUUAAAAUGUAAAAUAAUAAAUAUUUAAGCAUUCAACUCCAACAAAGAGACAUCAUAAUGAAAAAUCCAUAUUACAAAAACCAGAUAUGAUGCAACAAAGAAAUUGAGAAUACUUCAAAGAGAUGAUACAUCGCAGUAACAUCAUGAAGACAAAGAACUAGUUUUAAAGAAGACUGAGUAAAGUAUUAGGUAAAAAUAUAAUGAGUUAAACUAAUUCAAUAGAUGGAGGAAUAACAGAACAAAUACAAUUUAAGAACAUGUAUUAAACUGGUAAUUCAAUAAAGGAUCUCUUACAAAAACACAUGAAAAACAAAGAAAUAGAUGGCAUACAAUUAAAAUUACUAAAUGUGUAGGAUUACUGUUGAGUUCAGAUGUAUAGGAAUAAAAAACUAACAUGAAGAAAAAAAUUCUAGAAACAUAAAAGACCUCAAUGAAGGGAAAGAAUCAUAGUUUCAAACAGAAUAGUUAAAAUAAAAUCCACAUGUAGAAUAAUAAUAAGGUCAUCAAAGAUACAGUCAUUUUGAAAAGUUAUUGAAGUUAAUAAAUUCAAAUGGAAUAAAAAGAUCAGAUUUUGAUCAGUAGUCACAGUAAUGACAAGAGAAUAAGAAAAAAGUGAAUAAACUUUUCCACAUUUUUAUAGAAAACAAUUCUGUACUACUGAUUCUACAUCUAAUAUAUUAAUAAAGCAUGAUAGUAAAAUACAUAUAAUAUCC